AAAAAAUAUAUAUAUAUAUUAGAAAGAGCAUUAUAUACAUGAUUGCUAAAUAAAAUUUCGAAGCAAUGCUAUGUAUCCAAUUCCCAAAUAUAUAAGUUCUGGCAAUGCGGAUUCUUCCUAUCAAAUAUCAAUUAAACACUAUCUCACCCUCUAAUUGUAAAUACCAUAUCCCACAUAUUCCUUGGCUCUACUGAAACCAGCUUUUUCCUUUUGCUGCUCUUACAUAAUGUGAUAACCACAUCCAUCUUGCAUCCUAGUAUAACAUGCCACCCAAGAUUGGUAAAAAUUUACAAUUCAAAUUGUACCAAAUCUCAAUGCUGAGAUGAACCAAAAGAAAUAUUUUGAAAGUUCAUAAAGAUAUAACGUAGUCUCACCUUAUAAAGAUAUAACAUUAGU
rnacentral:misc_RNA from 1 species